rnacentral:ncRNA from 1 species
AUAAAGACUGUGAUAGAGAGAGUAUCUGUUAAUAAAACCGAGCAGAGAUAGGAUGUCACCGGCUGAAAGCAUCCUUUCGGAGUUAAUAGAGAAGACCACUCUUGAGUUGCGUGCUGAACGGAUAUGAUUUUUCAUUUUCAAUUAAGCAUAGCCGCGCACCUUGCGUUAUCGAGGUUUUAAAGCGAUGCCCAAAGGAUAUUAUUCAUUAGGCAUAAGCAGGGUGGAACCGUGUGAUUAAAAGCUCUCACCCCUGAU